AAAAAGAAUCCUUUCUUGCCUUUAAGAUCAAUAUAUCAAAACAAUGGCUUCUUUCAGGUGUUUGAUCUUUGCUGCAUUGUUCAUUGCCUUGUCAUUUGAUGUUGGUUUAGCUGCUCGUCAUCUUCAGCAAUUGCCACCUUUACCAAAGCCUACACUCCCACCAAUGCCUAGUAUGCCCACUCUCCCACAGCCCACAUUGCCUACGAAUCCAUCUCUGCCUCCACUUCCAAGCUUGCCUACUCUUCCUAAGCUUGCUUUGCCUCCAUUGCCCAGCAUCCCCACUCUCCCAACUACAAUUCCUUCAAUCCCAUUCCUCUCCCCACCACCUGGUAACUAAAUCAUUCAUCUUUUCUUUGGGGUUCAGUUCAAUUUGUGGGAGGAGAUUCAAAACUUGGACUAUAUAUUUUUUUAUGUGUCUGUUGGGAAGACUGCUACUACUUCCCUUCGUUACUUUUCUUUGUGACUCCUAUAGUCUCUCAUAGCUUGUCCUUCAUUUAUUUUACGAGUUUGAGCAUUAUGAAAAUUUUUUACUCGCAUUUACCAACGGUUUCUUGUUUCUUGGUUGUUAACAACGGGUUUUGAAUCCAUUGAUAAAAUCUAUACGUUUCCCCUAAAUUUUGUAGGGUAAAAUAGUCAUAAUUCAUAAUUCUCCGUUAAAAACAUAUUCAUAAUUCUAAGAAUUCAAAAUUUCACCCAAACUAUACAAAAUUUGCAUGUGCCAGUUCGUAAAAACAUAAAUUGAUCAUAGAAACAUAGAAGAUAAAGAUUAAUUAAAUAUUGAAAAUUUACAACAAUAAAAGCAGAUAUGAUUAGAAAAGAUAAAACAAAAAUCUAAUAAAAAUUAGUAUCAGAAAAAUAAUAAUAAUAAUUAAUUAGGACGAAUGACCUAAAGGUGAUGUUUAUAAAUUUUAUAAAAAUUUAUUUAUAAAAUUGCCUUCAUAGAAAAUGACAAGCCUAAUAACGCAAGUCUGUCUACUAGUACACAGUUCAGACCAUGUUUAAGCAGGCCGAGCAGACUGGAGUUCGAGCCCAACAAAGAGGGAUCAAGCUGACCUGUGGGGAAUAGACCCAUUUACGUCUAUGACCUUGUCAGCGAGCGCCGAAAGCAAUUAAAUAGUCCUUUGACGAUGGAGAGAAGGAGAGUAUAUCUGUACGUAAGAUUUUGUAUGAUACUGACAGAUGAAACUAUAAUAGAGUGAUGGUUAUAUGUCACUAGAUAAAUGAAAAAAAAAAUAAAGAAAGAAAGAGUGAACAAUUCAAACUAAACUUACUCAUACAUAUCAAAACUCUAUUCUCUCUUGAAUUUCAGAUUAUCAAUCACAUUUAUUUUUUUUAUUAAAAUAUUCAAUUGUAAUUCUAAAUUGCCAUUGAACUAUAUGUCAUAAUUGACUUCAAAUAUAUAUAUAUAUAAGUUUUAACUCAAUAAAUUGCAGUAAAUAAAUUUUGUAGCGAAAAUUUGUAAGUCGCAACUUAAAAUCACAUUUAAUGGAAAAAAAAAUUACUGAAAGUGGAUUAAAAAUUGUAGUGAAACAAUACAAUUUAGCUACUAAAUAUAAAAAAAUCACCAUCAAAAUUUUUUGUGCUGCAGUUUUUAUAGUGACCUAGCGGCAUAUUUAAAAUUUCUCAGCGAAAUUUUUACAUGGUGAUGAUUUUUAUUUCUACAAAAUGUCUAAUUUAUUAUAGUAGUAGUCGAGGCAUAUUUGAGAAUUUUGGGGAUCAGAAUUCGAUUUCCAUCCCCUUACAAUAGAGUGAAUGUAUUAAAAGGUAAUGUGUUGGGUAAAUAAUCUGGAUAUUAUUCCUUAGAAAUUUGCUAAUUUUUAAAUUCCAUUGUGAAUAUCUCGUCGUGAAUCUCUCAUAAUUCAUUACUUCAGUUAUUUUUUUAACACACCAUGAGGGAAACCAAUUUAGUUACUGAAACUUUGGCAAAACCAUAAACCGUGUAAAUGAUUUUGUGGUAAGAUUUUAAAAAUUAUGGAGGAUUUUGAUUAUAGUUACUAGUUCAUUUUCUCUUAAUCCUUAAGACAAUAGCACUUUUUUUUUUAAAUUUUCUCCUAUGGAUUCUAUUGAUUUUUUUAUGAUUUGAUGGUAUUGGUUGUCUUUCUCUAAAUUUUAGCAUUUAGUAUAUGCCACAUCUUAGAAUAGGUCUACUUGAAUUAAUCUGUGGAUCGAGAUUUAGAAUGGAUGUGUUGAUGUUAAAUUUUUUCUUAAAUAUUAACAAAAUAAAAUUUCUGAAUGCAUGAACCAGUAUUCUAUUUAUAACAUAUAGUUAAUGAAACUUAGGGUUACGAAUUGUUGAUCGAAAAGUAUUUAGGAAUUAUUUUAGAGAAAUAAAGUUUAUGGAAUCAAUUUAAGAUGAACAAUUAUUCAGUACUCUUGGAGUACCACAUAGGAUGAAUGAUGUGGUGCGUUCAACCAAUAAGAUUAAAAUACUUAUGCUUCUUGUGUAUCUAUUAAUGCUUUCCCUAAUCAUUUUAUUGAUUUGACUGUUACAAGUACUUCUUAUGGAUCUUGGAAUUUUAUGGGCUUCUAUGGUAUGCUUGAGCGAGGGAAAAGGACAUGGACAUUUGGUGGAUUCAGUUUAAAAUCGAAUUGAAUUGAAUAAAUCGAAAAUUGAAAUUUUAAUAUUUAUGAAAAUCGAAUCGAAUCGAUUUUAGUUAGAAAUUAAAUCGAACCGAAUUGAUUCGAUUCAGUUCGAUUUGAUCGAUUUUAAUUUUUAAUAAAUUUUUUAUUUUUUACACUUUAUUUUUAAUAUUUUAAAAUUUAAUUAAAAUAUAUAAUUUUAAUAUUAUUUAAUUUCUCUAUAUUAUUGAAAAAAUAUAUUAUUAUUACUAAUUGGUUCGAUUUGAUUUUUUCGAUUUUUUUUUAUUAAAAUCGAACCAAAUUAAAAUAACUGAAAUGAAUAAAAAAUCGAAUUGAAUUUUUAAAUUAAUUCGGUUCGAUUGAUUUUUUCGAUUUGAAUCGAAUAUUGAUCACUCCUAAGUAGGAAACAUGAGUCUUGACAUUUACUAAAAUCACUUGUUUUAAAAAAUAUUUUUUUACCAGUUAUCCUUAUAAAAAAAAAUUGUAUUAUUGUGCACUCUCCUGAUUAUUUACCAUGUCUUCCUUCUCACUUUCUCUUCAUAUAAAUCUCCGUGGCAAAUAAAUUACGUUAUAAUAUUUUUUAGAUAAAAAUAAUAAUUUAGCUAGCAUGCACCAGAUGUCUCCAUCUACUGGACAGCAAACAUUCUGGUUAUUGCAGCAUCUUUCACCGUUAAUCAUCGGUAAGAAUGGCUAUCGCUGCCCCACAUAGAGAGCAAUUUUUCAAAUCAUGCAAAAAAUGAAAUUUAUUUUUAAAAUCAUGCAGGAUCUGAAAAUAUUUUCGGAUCCUGUGUGUCAACGAAUUGGAUUCGUCAGUUUGACUGCCGAACCCAGUAGUUCACCACCAAUGGUGGCGAACUUCAUAAUGUUCGCCACUCAUAAUGGCGAACUACAUGAUGUUCGCCACUAUGAGUGGCGAACUUUUUUUGUUUGGCAUUUAUAGUGCCGAACAAGCCCCGCCGUGUCACGGGAGCAAUCUCGUGACUUCCAGCGUGGUUUGUUCGGCACCCAAUGGAACAAGUCACUUAAAGCUGCCCCUAAUGGCUCGUGAUUGAACAGAAAUUAAUUUAUUCAACAAAAUUUAUAAUAACUUAAAUAUAAAAUUAAUUUAUUAUAUUUAUAAUAAAAAUUAUUAUAACUAAAAUAUUAACUCAUUAAAAAAAUUAACUAUUUAAUUUAUUAAAUUUAACUUUUUUUAAAUUUCUAAUAUUUAUAUAACAACUUAUAUUAAUAAUAUUUUUGGCUUUUAUUUUUUGCUUUUUCUAAUAAUAAUUUCUAAUAAUUAUAUAACAACUUCUAUUUUUUUAUUAUAAUUUAAUAUUUUAUUUUUUGCUUUUAUUUUUUAUAUAUUAAGCGAGAAAAUUAUAUAUACAUAUUAAAAAAAAUUAAAUAAAAACCUAGUGGAAAGAGAUCGUUUGUGCUGGAGAAGAAGAUUUGCUGAAGAUGAAGGCUUCCGGCGAUGGAGAGAGAGAAGAGAAGGCUGCACAGAGGAGAAGGAGGAUAAAAAAUUUUGUAGGGGGAAAGAGAGAAGAAGAAGAGCGAGACUUUGGUUUUAAAGCCAAAGUCUUCUCUGUCCAGGACUGUGCAUGCAGAGCCGCGUGGUUUUGCAUGCACAGAAAAGGGUUCGGCACUAUCAGUGCCGAACCCUUUUCGCGGUCAAUACUUCGUCAGGAAUCUCUGACAAAGCAUUGAAUUCUGCAUGUUCGGCAUCAUUGUUGCCGAACAUGCCACGCUGCAGCCACGGGAGCAGAUUGCUCUGUUCACGUGGCACGGUUCCGCUUGUUCGGCACUCAUGGUGCCGAACAAGCUGCCAAACGAAUGUUCGCCACCAUGAGUGGCGAACAUCAUGAAGUUUGCCACCAUUGGUGGCGAACUUCUGGGUUCGGCAGUAUGACUACCAAAUCCAGUGCGUUGACACACAGGAUCCGAAAAUAUUUUCGAAUACUGCAUGAUUUUAAAAAUAAAUUUCAUUUUUUGCAUGAUUUGAAAAAUUACUCCCACAUAGACGCGGAGUCUAACAAAAUUAGAGCUCCACAAAAAUCUGAAAUAAAAAGUGAAAGAAAAAAUCAAGAGAUGAAAGCGUUUUCUCUCUUUGGAAAUAACGAUUAAUCUAUCAUUAUCAUUAUGUCUUAUUAAUACCUUUAAUCACUUUAUUAUAACUUUUUUAAUAGAAUCGAUUUAUUUAAUUAUUUUUUUAAAUAAUUAAUAAUUUCUUUUUUUCAUAAAUAUUAAUAAUUUAAAUCUUUAAUUUUUUUUUUAUUGAGAUACUUCUCGGUUAUUAUGUAAUUUGUUUAUCUUGUUAACUUGCCAAAAAAAACAGAUUAGAAAAAAACUAUUCAUUAACAAACCCAAAAUACGAAGCAACCACUCAUGAUAAUCUAAUGUCAUCUCAAAUUCAGUACAUCCAUGAAUUUGAAACUAACAAUCCUACAAAGUACAAUGCAGCGAACAACAAUGAGACAAAGGUAGAAACUAAAAUUGCCCAAAUAGGUGAGCAGAGAGAAUUUUUUUUUUUUUUUUUUUCAAAUGCAAAAGGAAAAAGGUUUAAUUGAACAGCUUAAACAACUCCCCAUUCCCAACAGAUGCAACUAAAGGUACAUGAUAUAAUCUUCAAUACUACGCAAAACAAUGGUGAGAUUCAUACAAUCCAAGCUUCAUGAACAUGAUAUGGAGAUUUUUAGUUUCCAGCUGGUGGUGGUGGGAUUGAGGGAAUUGUAGUCGGGAUAUUGGGGAUUGAGGGGAUGCUUGGCAUUGGAGGCAGGGUGACCUUUGGGACAGCAGGCAUGGUGGGCAAGCUAGGAAGUGGAGGCAAAGUGGGGUUGGGCAGGGAAGGUUGGGUGGUUGGCAAGGUUGGUAAUGACGGCUGUGGGAGAAUCGGAAUAGAAGGGAUUGGUGGCACUGCAAGCUUUGGCAAAUUUGGCACAGAAGGCAAAGGUGGCAAUUGCAGAAGAUUGCGAGCUGCUAAGCUAACAUCCAUGCUUAAAAGUGACAAAGAGACAAAGAAAGCAAGGAUGAAGCAGUUGAAAGAGGCCAUGGUUAAGAAGAUGUUGCUGUAGUACAAAAGGUAUGUAAUUUGUUGUGGGUUUGGAUGAGAAACAAGCUGCCUAUGAGUGGGCUUAUAUAGCUGAAGAAUUAUUCAGGAUUAUCAUCAAUGGAGGUGAUAUGGCAAGGACCAUGACUAGCUGGGUAGUUCACCAUCUCAUGAAUGUUCUACUGAUAGGUUGACAAGGUCAGUUGUGGGAUAAAUAGAUAUUAUUGUAACCGUUGAAGUUGUAUCAUGAUCAAGAAAAGCAUCUAAGGUUGUUGAUACCUUUGUGAUCUAAUUGGUGGGUUAUCUAACGAGAGUUUAGAGAGUUGAAGCAACAACUUAUAUUCAGUGCACAUUCUUUCAAACAGAAUCCUGUUGCAAAAUUGUACUAAAUGAGAGAUAUUGAUGGAGUUAAACAACCAAAUGCACAUUACACAUAAAGGAAUUCCAAGAGGAUGAUUAGAUUGACAUAGAAGCUAUCUGAUGAUUUAGUUUGGUGGCAUGGUUGCUCCAUUUCUCUAUCUGCAUACUUUGACUUUCUUCCAUUUGAAAAAUGUUCUGAUUUCAACGUCUGGCCAGCUAAAACAACAUUUGCCAACUUUUAAGUGGAAGUUUAAGCUAAACAAAGAGACUAACUUGAAGAGUUUCACAGUUUUCCACAACUACAUCACCUACCAAACCCUACAGCUCAUGAGCUUGCUAUAUAAUCCCAAAACCUGACUUUGCUUUCCUCAUUCUAAAACAUAACAAUAAUCUUUUAUUUCCUUUAAGAUCAAUAUAUAAAAAAAAUGGCCUCUUUCAAGUGCUUGAUCUUUGCUGCAUUGUUCAUUGCUUUGUUAUUUGAUGUUGGGUUAGGUGCUCGUCAUCUUCAGCAACUGCCACCUUUACCAAAGCCUACAUUCCCACCAUUGCCUAGUAUCCCAACUCUCCCACAGCCCACAUUGCCAACAAACCCAUCUCUGCCUCCACUUCCAAGCUUGCCUACUCUUCCUAAGGUUGCUUUGCCUCCAUUGCCCAGCUUCCCCACUAUU
rnacentral:lncRNA from 1 species